GAUGAAGAACGCAGUGAAAUGCGAUAAGUAGUGUGAAUUGCAGAAUUCAGUGAAUCAUCGAAUCUUUGAACGCACAUUGCGCCCCUUGGUAUUCCAUGGGGCAUGCCUGUUCGAGCGUCAUUUGUACCUUCAAGCUUUGCUUGGUGUUGGGUGUUUGUCCCUCGGGACUCGCCUUAAAGUCAUUGGCAGCCAGUGUUUUGGUUUUGAAGCGCAGCACAAGUCGCGAUUCAAGGCUAUCCGCCCGCUUCCACAAGCCUUUUUCACUUUUGACCUCGGAUCAGGUAGGGAUACCCGCUGAACUUAAGCAUAUCAAUAAGCGGAGGA
rnacentral:misc_RNA from 1 species